GAUGAACGCUAGCUACAGGCUUAACACAUGCAAGUCGAGGGACCGGCGCACGGGUGAGUAACACGUAUCCAACCUGCCCUUUACUCGGGGAUAGCCUUUCGAAAGAAAGAUUAAUACCCGAUAUAAAGGAUGGGGAUGCGUUCCAUUAGGUUGUUGGUGAGAUAACGGCCCACCAAGCCUUCGAUUGAUAGGGGUUCUGAGAGGAAGGUCCCCCAGAUAGGAACGAAGACACGAUCCAAACUCCUGCGGGAGGAAGCAGUGAGGAAGAGUGGUGAAUGGGCGGUAGCCGGAACCAGCCAAGGAGCAUGAAGGAGGAAGGAUUAUGGGUCGUAAACUUAUUGUAUAUAAGAAUAUGUAUUAUAUGAAUAAGGAUCGGCUAACUCCGUGCCAGCAGCCGCGGUAAUUC
rnacentral:rRNA from 1 species